rnacentral:rRNA from 1 species
CGCUAAAAGAUGAGUCUAUUUCCCAUCAGCUAGUUGGUAAGGUAAGAGCUUACCAAGGCUAUGACGGGUAGCUGGUCUUAGAGGACGAUCAGCCACACUGGAACUGAGACACGGUCCAGACUCCUACGGGAGGCAGCAGUGGGGAAUAUUGCACAAUGGGGGAAACCCUGAUGCAGCAACGCCGCGUGGAGGAUGACGCAUUUCGGUGUGUAAACUCCUUUUAUUAAGGAAGAAAUUUGACGGUACUUAAUGAAUAAGCACCGGCUAACUCCGUGCCAGCAGCCGCGGUAAUACGGAGGGUGCAAGCGUUACUCGGAAUUACUGGGCGUAAAGGACGCGUAGGCGGUUUAGAAAGUCAGAUGUGAAAGCCUAUGGCUUAACCAUAGAACUGCAUUUGAAACUUCUAAACUAGAGUGGGGGAGAGGUCAGUGGAAUUAGUGGUGUA